rnacentral:rRNA from 1 species
GCGUUGUUCGGAAUUACUGGGCGUAAAGCGCGCGCAGGCGGUCUUCCAAGUCAGUGGUGAAAGCCCGGAGCUCAACUCCGGAACUGCCAUUGAAACUGUUGGACUUGAGUACGAGAGAGGUGAGUGGAAUUCCCAGUGUAGAGGUGAAAUUCGUAGAUAUUGGGAAGAACACCGGUGGCGAAGGCGGCUCACUGGCUCGUAACUGACGCUCAGGCGCGACAGCGUGGGGAUCAAACAGG